UACGGAGGAUCCAAGCGUUAUCCGGAUUUAUUGGGUUUAAAGGGAGCGUAGGCGGCCUAUUAAGUCAGGGGUGAAAGACGGUGGCUCAACCAUCGCAGUGCCUUUGAUACUGGUAGGCUUGAAUGUAGUUGAGGUAGGCGGAAUGUGACAAGUAGCGGUGAAAUGCAUAGAUAUGUCACAGAACACCGAUUGCGAAGGCAGCUAACGAAACUAUAACUGACGCUGAGGCACGAAAGUGCGGGGAUCAAACAGG
rnacentral:rRNA from 1 species